GAUGAACGCUAGCGGUAUGCUUAACACAUGCAAGUCGUACGGGAGUUUUUAACUCAAGUGGCGGACGGGUGAGUAACACGUGAGAAUUUACCUUUAGGAGGGGAUAACAAUUGGAAACGAUUGCUAAUACCCCAUAUGCUUUUUAAGUUGAAACGGAUUUAUUCGCCUAAAGAAAAGCUCGCGGCUGAUUAGCUAGUUGGUAAGGUAAUGGCUUACCAAGGCGACGAUCAGUAUCUGGUUUGAGAGGAUGAUCAGACACACUGGAACUGAGACACGGUCCAGACUCCUACGGGAGGCAGCAGUGGGGAAUAUUGGUCAAUGGGCGCAAGCCUGAACCAGCCAUGCCGCGUGACAGGAAGA
rnacentral:rRNA from 1 species